GGGGACCGAGGGUCGGCGUCACAGUGAGAGAGCCGUGAUGGAGGACGGGGUCACCCUGCUCGCCCAGUGCGGGGAGCUCCGUCAUACAGAAUCCCAAACGGGCUGGAACUGUUCUUGCAAAGACUGGGCUGAGAUGCACGAGUAAAUCUGACGUGUCCACCCUCAUCUCUACAGGAUCAGCCCCAGCUCUGGGGCCAAGGACUCCUUGGCUCACUGAAGAAUCCCACCAUGCAGGUACAAUGAUGUACAAAACAGGAAGCAAAGCACUGAACACAGAACCUGGCAAGCUGUAAUCAUCUGGCGCAUCUGAACUGUCUGGGUGGUGUCUCCGCUGCUGCCGCCUGAGUGCAGGUUUCCAUCAUCUGUUGCCUGUUGACCACGAAACUCCCAACUCAUCCCUUUCACUCCAGCCUUCCUCAAACCCCAGGGUCUUCCACCCACUAGGACCAGAGUGAUCCUCUGAACAUAAAACUGAUUGAUAACAGAUCAUCCAAAUAGACUAAUAAUCGACCAAUUAAUAAUUGACAAUCAAAAAAUUCUCUCCUCCAAAACAAACAAACAAAAAAAAAAACAAGAAAACUGUCAAAAAUUGUCAAAAUCAACUUUUCUAGAACUCUGAAAGUUAACCACCAAAGGCUUGGAAUAAUCUGGGAAGCUUUUAUUUAAUUAAAAUGGCUGAGUCUUGGUAUGAACA